rnacentral:rRNA from 1 species
UANCGGCGGACGGGUGAGUAACGUGUGGGCAACCUGCCCUGUACUGUGGAAUAAUCACUGGAAACGGUGACUAAUACCGCAUGUCAUCACAAGGGGGCAUCCCCUUGUGAGAAAAGGAUNUAUUCGGUACAGGAUGGGCCCGCAUCUGAUUAGCUAGUUGGUGAGAUAACAGCCCACCAAGGCAACGAUCAGUAGCCGACCUGAGAGGGUGAUCGGCCACAUUGGGACUGAGACACGGCCCAAACUCCUACGGGAGGCAGCAGUGGGGAAUAUUGCACAAUGGGCGAAAGCCUGAUGCAGCAACGCCGCGUGAAGGAUGAAGGGUUUCGGCUCGUUAAACUUCUAUCCAAUAGGGACGAAAAAAAUGACGGUACCUAAAUAAGAAGCCCCGGGCUAAACUACGUGCCAGCAGCCGCGGUAAUACGUAGGGGGGCCAAGCGUUAUCCGGAAUUACUGGGUGUAAAGGGAGAGUAGGCGGCAUGGUAAGUUAGAUGUGAAAGCCCCGGGGCUUAACCUCGGGAUUGCAUUUAAAACUAUCAAGCUAGAGUACAGGAGAGGUAAGUGGAAUUCCUAGUGUAGCGGUGAAAUGCGUAGAUAUUAGGAAGAACACCAGUGGCGAAGGCGACUUACUGGACUGAAACUGACGCUGAGGCUCGAAAGCGUGGGGAGCGAACAGGAUUAGAUACCCUGGUAGUCCACGCCGUAAACGAUGAGUGCUAGGUGUCGGGGGGGAACCCUCGGUGCCGCAGCUAACGCAAUAAGCACUCCACCUGGGGAGUACGAUCGCAAGAUUGAAACUCAAAGGAAUUGACGGGGGCCCGCACAAGCGGUGGAGCAUGUGGUUUUAAUUCGAAGCAACGCGAAGAACCUUACCAAGGCUUGACAUCCCCUCUGACCGGUGUUAGAGAUACACCUUCUCUUCGGAGCAAAAGUGACAGGUGGUGCAUGGUUGUCGUCAGCUCCUGUCCUGAGAUGUUGGGUUAAGUCCCGCAACGAGCGCAACCCCUAUCCUUAGUAGCCAUCAUUCAGUUGGGCANCUCUAGGGAGACUGCCGUGGAUAACACGGAGGAAGGUGGGGAUGACGUCAAAUCAUCAUGCCCCUUAUGUCUUGGGCUACACACGUGCUACAAUGGCUGGUAACAAAGUGAUGCAAAACGGCGACGUCGAGCAAAUCACAAAAACCCAGUCCCAGUUCGGAUUGUAGUCUGCAACUCGACUACAUGAAGCUGGAAUCGCUAGUAAUCGCGAAUCAAAAUGUCGCGGUGAAUACGUUCCCGGGCCUUGUACACCCCUAAAGGGNCACCAUGGGAGUUGGAAGCACCCGAAGUCGGUGACCUAACCGUAAGGAAGAGCCGCCGAGG